rnacentral:rRNA from 1 species
AGAGUUUGAUUAUGGCUCAGGAUGAACGCUGGCGGCGUGCCUAACACAUGCAAGUCGAGCGAUUCUCUUCGGAGAAGAGCGGCGGACGGGUGAGUAACGCGUGGGUAACCUGCCUCAUACACAUGGAUAACAUACCGAAAGGUAUGCUAAUACAGGAUAAUAUAAGAAAUUCACAUGGAUUUCUUAUCAAAGCUCCGGCGGUAUGAGAUGGACCCGCGUCUGAUUAGCUAGUUGGUAAGGUAACGGCUUACCAAGGCGACGAUCAGUAGCCGACCUGAGAGGGUGAUCGGCCACAUUGGAACUGAGACACGGUCCAAACUCCUACGGGAGGCAGCAGUGGGGAAUAUUGCACAAUGGGCGAAAGCCUGAUGCAAGCAACGCCGCGUGAGUGAUGAAGGCCUUCGGGUCGUAAAACUCUGUCCUCAAGGAAGAUAAUGACGGUACUUGAGGAGGAAGCCCCGGCUAACUACGUGCCAGCAGCAGC